rnacentral:rRNA from 1 species
UUAAGUUAUUAAGGGCGCACGGUGGAUGCCUUGGCACUAGAAGCCGAUGAAGGACGUUACUAACGACGAUAUGCUUUGGGGAGCUGUAAGUAAGCUUUGAUCCAGAGAUUUCCGAAUGGGGAAACCCAGCAUGAGUUAUGUCAUGUUAUCGAUAUGUGAAUACAUAGCAUAUCAGAAGGCACACCCGGAGAACUGAAACAUCUUAGUACCCGGAGGAAGAGAAAGAAAAUUCGAUUCCCUUAGUAGCGGCGAGCGAAACGGGAAGAGCCCAAACCAACAAGCUUGCUUGUUGGGGUUGUAGGACACUCUAUACGGAGUUACAAAGGACGACAUUAGACGAAUCAUCUGGAAAGAUGAAUCAAAGAAGGUAAUAAUCCUGUAGUCGAAAAUGUUGUCUCUCUUGAGUGGAUCCUGAGUACGACGGAGCACGUGAAAUUCCGUCGGAAUCUGGGAGGACCAUCUCCUAAGGCUAAAUACUCUCUAGUGACCGAUAGUGAACCAGUACCGUGAGGGAAAGGUGAAAAGCACCCCGGAAGGGGAGUGAAAUAGAACCUGAAACCGUGUGCUUACAAGUAGUCAGAGCCCGUUAAUGGGUGAUGGCGUGCCUUUUGUAGAAUGAACCGGCGAGUUACGAUUUGAUGCAAGGUUAAGCAGUAAAUGUGGAGCCGUAGCGAAAGCGAGUCUGAAUAGGGCGUUUAGUAUUUGGUCGUAGACCCGAAACCAGGUGAUCUACCCUUGGUCAGGUUGAAGUUCAGGUAACACUGAAUGGAGGACCGAACCGACUUACGUUGAAAAGUGAGCGGAUGAACUGAGGGUAGCGGAGAAAUUCCAAUCGAACCUGGAGAUAGCUGGUUCUCUCCGAAAUAGCUUUAGGGCUAGCCUCAAGUGAUGAUUAUUGGAGGUAGAGCACUGUUUGGACGAGGGGCCCCUCUCGGGUUACCGAAUUCAGACAAACUCCGAAUGCCAAUUAAUUUAACUUGGGAGUCAGAACAUGGGUGAUAAGGUCCGUGUUCGAAAGGGAAACAGCCCAGACCACCAGCUAAGGUCCCAAAAUAUAUGUUAAGUGGAAAAGGAUGUGGCGUUGCCCAGACAACUAGGAUGUUGGCUUAGAAGCAGCCAUCAUUUAAAGAGUGCGUAAUAGCUCACUAGUCGAGUGACACUGCGCCGAAAAUGUACCGGGGCUAAACAUGUUACCGAAGCUGUGGAUUGUCCUUUGGACAAUGGUAGGAGAGCGUUCUAAGGGCGUUGAAGCAUGAUCGUAAGGACAUGUGGAGCGCUUAGAAGUGAGAAUGCCGGUGUGAGUAGCGAAAGACGGGUGAGAAUCCCGUCCACCGAUUGACUAAGGUUUCCAGAGGAAGGCUCGUCCGCUCUGGGUUAGUCGGGUCCUAAGCUGAGGCCGACAGGCGUAGGCGAUGGAUAACAGGUUGAUAUUCCUGUACCACCUAUAAUCGUUUUAAUCGAUGGGGGGACGCAGUAGGAUAGGCGAAGCGUGCGAUUGGAUUGCACGUCUAAGCAGUAAGGCUGAGUAUUAGGCAAAUCCGGUACUCGUUAAGGCUGAGCUGUGAUGGGGAGAAGACAUUGUGUCUUCGAGUCGUUGAUUUCACACUGCCGAGAAAAGCCUCUAGAUAGAAAAUAGGUGCCCGUACCGCAAACCGACACAGGUAGUCAAGAUGAGAAUUCUAAGGUGAGCGAGCGAACUCUCGUUAAGGAACUCGGCAAAAUGACCCCGUAACUUCGGGAGAAGGGGUGCUCUUUAGGGUUAACGCCCAGAAGAGCCGCAGUGAAUAGGCCCAAGCGACUGUUUAUCAAAAACACAGGUCUCUGCUAAACCGUAAGGUGAUGUAUAGGGGCUGACGCCUGCCCGGUGCUGGAAGGUUAAGAGGAGUGGUUAGCUUCUGCGAAGCUACGAAUCGAAGCCCCAGUAAACGGCGGCCGUAACUAUAACGGUCCUAAGGUAGCGAAAUUCCUUGUCGGGUAAGUUCCGACCCGCACGAAAGGCGUAACGAUUUGGGCACUGUCUCAACGAGAGACUCGGUGAAAUCAUAGUACCUGUGAAGAUGCAGGUUACCCGCGACAGGACGGAAAGACCCCGUGGAGCUUUACUGUAGCCUGAUAUUGAAAUUCGGCACAGCUUGUACAGGAUAGGUAGGAGCCUUUGAAACGUGAGCGCUAGCUUACGUGGAGGCGCUGGUGGGAUACUACCCUAGCUGUGUUGGCUUUCUAACCCGCACCACUUAUCGUGGUGGGAGACAGUGUCAGGCGGGCAGUUUGACUGGGGCGGUCGCCUCCUAAAAGGUAACGGAGGCGCUCAAAGGUUCCCUCAGAAUGGUUGGAAAUCAUUCAUAGAGUGUAAAGGCAUAAGGGAGCUUGACUGCGAGACCUACAAGUCGAGCAGGGUCGAAAGACGGACUUAGUGAUCCGGUGGUUCCGCAUGGAAGGGCCAUCGCUCAACGGAUAAAAGCUACCCCGGGGAUAACAGGCUUAUCUCCCCCAAGAGUUCACAUCGACGGGGAGGUUUGGCACCUCGAUGUCGGCUCAUCGCAUCCUGGGGCUGUAGUCGGUCCCAAGGGUUGGGCUGUUCGCCCAUUAAAGCGGUACGCGAGCUGGGUUCAGAACGUCGUGAGACAGUUCGGUCCCUAUCCGUCGUGGGCGUAGGAAAUUUGAGAGGAGCUGUCCUUAGUACGAGAGGACCGGGAUGGACAUACCUCUGGUGUACCAGUUGUCGUGCCAACGGCAUAGCUGGGUAGCUAUGUGUGGACGGGAUAAGUGCUGAAAGCAUCUAAGCAUGAAGCCCCCCUCAAGAUGAGAUUUCCCAACUUCGGUUAUAAGAUCCCUCAAAGAUGAUGAGGUUAAUAGGUUCGAGGUGGAAGCAUGGUGACAUGUGGAGCUGACGAAUACUAAUCGAUCGAAGACUUAAUC